AGGGAACAUUCUGCAGUAUAAAGGGCGCGAGGAAGGCGGGAGACGGCGCAGUUUGAAUCGCGGUCCGACGGAGGAGUGGGCGCCGGGAUCUCGCUGAGCGUCCGCCUGGCUUCGUCUCUUCCUCGCUCGUCGGAGCUUCAGCACGGUCCGAGAUGGCUGGCGGUAAGGCUGGAAAGGACUCCGGAAAGGCCAAGACAAAGGCGGUUUCCCGCUCGCAGCGAGCCGGCUUGCAGUUCCCUGUGGGCCGUAUUCAUCGACACCUGAAAUCUAGGACAACCAGCCACGGACGUGUGGGCGCGACCGCCGCUGUGUACAGCGCA